rnacentral:rRNA from 1 species
AGACUUUGAUACUGGCUCAGAACGAACGCUGGCGGCAGGCCUAACACAUGCAAGUCGAGCGCACCCUUCGGGGUGAGCGGCGGACGGGUGAGUAACGCGUGGGAACGUACCCUUUGCUACGGAAUAGCCACUGGAAACGGUGAGUAAUACCGUAUGAGCCCUUCGGGGGAAAGAUUUAUCGGCAAGGGAUCGGCCCGCGUUGGAUUAGGUAGUUGGUAGGGUAAAAGCCUACCAAGCCGACGACGGGUAGCCGAUGUGAGAGCAUGAUCGGCCACAAGGGAACUGAGACACGGAUCCUACUCCUACGGGAGGCAGCAGUGGGGAAUAUUGGACAAUGGGGGAAACCCUGAUCCAGCCAUGCCGCGUGAGUGAAGAAGGCCUUAGGGUUGUAAAGCUCUUUCGGUGGUGACGAUGAUGACGGUAGCCACAGAAGAAGCCCCGGCUAACUCCGUGCCAGCAGCCGCGGUAAUACGGAGGGGGCAAGCGUUGUUCGGAAUUACUGGGCGUAAAGGGCGCGUAGGCGGAUGAUCAAGUCA